UACGGGGGAUGCGAGCGUUGUCCGGAAUCAUUGGGCGUAAAGAGUUCGUAGGUGGUUUGUUAAGUUUGGUGUUAAAUCCUGAGGCUUAACCUCAGUAGGGCAUCGGAUACUGGCAGACUUGAAUGCGGUAGAGGUAAAGGGAAUUCCUGGUGUAGCGGUGAAACGCGUAGAUAUCAGGAGGAACAUCGGUGGCGUAAGCGCUUUACUGGGCCGUAAUUGACACUGAGGAACGAAAGCCGGGGUAGCAAAU
rnacentral:rRNA from 1 species